GAUCUCGCAUCAGGCAAGACUACCCGCUGAAUUUAAGCAUAUCGGUA
rnacentral:rRNA from 1 species